CCCUUAGAUGUUCUGGGCUGCACACGUGCUACACUGGCAGGUUCAGCGAGCUUCAUGCCCUGAUCUGAAAGGAAUGGGAAAUCUUUUCAAAACCUGCCGUGCUUGGGAUAGAUGUUUGCAAUUAUUCAUCUUCAACGAGGAUUGCCUUGUAAGCGCACGUCAUCAGCGUGCAUUGAAUACGACCCUGUAUUCUGUACACACCGCCCGUCGCUCCUACCGAUUGAAGUUUUCGGUGAGUUGACAGGAGGAUUUUUUUGAAACUGGUUCGCCAGUGGAUUUUAGAUCCAAAUGCCAACGAAUCGAGGACUUUAGAGGAAGGAGAAGUCGUAACA
rnacentral:rRNA from 1 species